rnacentral:rRNA from 1 species
GACGAACGCUGGCGGCGUGCUUAACACAUGCAAGUCGAACGGAAAGGCCCUGCUUUUGUGGGGUGCUCGAGUGGCGAACGGGUGAGUAACACGUGAGUAACCUGCCCUUGACUUUGGGAUAACUUCAGGAAACUGGGGCUAAUACCGGAUAGGAGCUCCUGCUGCAUGGUGGGGGUUGGAAAGUUUCGGCGGUUGGGGAUGGACUCGCGGCUCAUCAGCUUGUUGGUGGGGUAGUGGCUUACCAAGGCUUUGACGGGUAGCCGGCCUGAGAGGGUGACCGGCCACAUGGGGACUGAGAGACGGCCCAGACUCCUACGGGAGGCAGCAGGGGGGAAUAUGGCACAAUGGGCGGAAGCCUGAUGCAGCAACGCCGCGUGCGGGAGGACGGCCUUCGGGUGGUAAACCGCUUUCGCAUGUGACGAAGCGUGAGUGACGGUAAUGGGUAAAGAAGCACAGGAGAACUACGU